UGGCUCAGGAUGAACGCUGGCGGCGUGCUUAACACAUGCAAGUCGAACGGAGCCUAAGAAGGAAGCUUGCUUUCAUUUUAAGCUUAGUGGCGGACGGGUGAGUAACGCGUGAGCAACCUGCCCCAUAGUGGGGAAUAACACCGAGAAAUCGGUGCUAAUACCGCAUAAUGUCGGAGGACCGCAUGAUCUUCCGACCAAAGGAUUUAUUCGCUAUGGGAUGGGCUCGCGUCCGAUUAGGCAGU
rnacentral:rRNA from 1 species